UACGAAGGGGGCGAGCGUUGUUCGGAAUUACUGGGCGUAAAGGGCGCGUAGGCGGCCGAGCAAGUUAGAUGUGAAAGUCCUGGGCUUAACCUGGGGACUGCAUUUGAUACUGCUUGGCUUGAAUUCGGGAGAGGAUAGCGGAAUUCCCAGUGUAGAGGUGAAAUUCGUAGAUAUUCGGAAGAACACCAGUGGCGAAGGCGACUUACUGGACGAUUGUUGACGCUGAGGUGCGAAAGCGUGGGGAGCAAACAGGG
rnacentral:rRNA from 1 species